UUUCUUCGGAAAUGGAUUAGCGGCGAACGGGGUGAGGAACACGUGAAGAAUCUGCCCUCCACUUUGGGAUAACACCGGGAAACCGGGUGCUAAUACCGAAUAUUGAAACAUAAGUGGCAUCACUGAGUUUUGAAAGAAUUUCGGUGGAGGAUGACUUCGCGGCCUAUCAGCUAGUUGGUGAGGUAAUGGCUCACCAAGGCAACGACGGGUAGCCGGCCUGAGAGGGCGACCGGCCACACUGGGACUGAGACACGGCCCA
rnacentral:rRNA from 1 species